GCCUGGGUGGCUCAGUCGGUUAAGCGUUUGACUUCGGCUCAGGUCACGAUCUCACGGUCUGUGAGUUCGAGCCCCACAUCGGGCU
rnacentral:tRNA from 1 species